UGCAGUCGAACGAACACUUCGGUGUUAGUGGCGCACGGGUGCGUAACGCGUGGGAAUCUACCCUUGGGUUCGGAAUAACUUCGGGAAACUGAAGCUAAUACCGGAUGAUGACGUAAGUCCAAAGAUUUAUCGCCCAAGGAUGAGCCCGCGUAGGAUUAGCUAGUUGGUGAGGUAAAGGCUCACCAAGGCUACGAUCCUUAGCUGGUCUGAGAGGAUGAUCAGCCACACUGGGACUGAGACACGGCCCAGACUCCUACGGGAGGCAACAGUAGGGAAUAUUGGACAAUGGGCGAAAGCCUGAUCCAGCAAUGCCGCGUGAGCGAUGAAGGCCUUAGGGUUGUAAAGCUCUUUUACCCGGGAUGAUAAUGACAGUACCGGGAGAAUAAGCCCCGGCUAACUCCGUGCCAGCAGCCGCGGUAAUACGGAGGGGGCUAGCGUUGUUCGGAAUUACUGGGCGUAAAGCGCACGUAGGCGGCGAUUUAAGUCAGAGGUGAAAGCCCGGGGCUCAACCCCGGAAUUGCCUUUGAGACUGGAUUGCUAGAAUCACGGAGAGGUGGGUGGAAUUCCGAGUGUAGAGGUGAAAUUCGUAGAUAUUCGGAAGAACACCAGUGGCGAAGGCGGCCCACUGGACGUGUAUUGACGCUGAGGUGCG
rnacentral:rRNA from 1 species